AGUCUAUGGUCUGUCUCAUAGAUACAUUCUGCCCCCUGUAUAGUAUAAAGGGCCGCAGAACUUUAACUGUGCUAAGGUAGCGUAAUAGUUUGUCUUUUAAAUGAAGACUGUAUGAAUGGCAACACGUGGCUCUACUGUCUCCUGUGGAUUUUUUGGAAGUUGGUUAAUGGGUGAAAAUACCCAUAAAUAGAAAAAGGACGAGAAGACCCUGAGAGCUUUUACGAGAAGUCGAAAAGGCUCCUGUUUUUGUUGGGGCAACAGAGGAACAAAUAACCUCCUUUGCUUAACCUGCCCCCUGUGGGUUUAAGAAUAAGCUACCUCAGGGAUAACAGCAUAAUUUUUUUUAAAGCUUGUGACCUCGAUGUUGGACUAGGGAAACAAAGGUUCAGAAGAUCUUUGUGUGCGCUCUGUUCGAGCUUUCCCCCU
rnacentral:rRNA from 6 species